GGCGAUCGAAACAAGCUGUAAUUCCCACAUUGGCCAGGGGAGGCAGUGCCUCACCUGCCUCCUAUGAAUGCAAGUCACUGUGGGGUAGAGAAGAGUUACGCACGUGGAGUUUGUUCCUGUGGCACCUCAAGGUACGAACGCACGAACCAGCCCAGUUUAGUGACCACUGACACAGAGCUACGGAUUCAUGUGGCCACCUUAGCCUUCACCGGCUAGCCCCCUCAGGACAUGUAAUGAGGAGCAGUGGAGAAAUAAACAUUUCUUAAUUACUUUUUGGAAAUACCACACCCUCGAUACCAUCAGAAAGAGCAUUUAUUGAAAGUUAAAUUUGCCUACCACAUAGACACCAACUAAAUGUGAACCAGCCGUGGCCUCUAUUGUAUCGUCCAGGAACACCUAUAAGUGGAUACCUCCAAAAACAGGUGCUCCUCUAAGUCCAAGGGGGAGUCAGUCACUUCUUGCAUGGUGUAACAAAGUAACCCAGACUUACAAAGGUAUUCAAAUCACCAAUUGUACCACCUCACAGACUGGCGUUUUCGCAGUACUGUAAGUAUGGACUUAUUUGUUUUUAACUUUCAAAAGCCAUUUAAACAAUCAUUGAUGCAGUCGAGGGUCUUCAACCGAGGGAAAACAGGCUUAUAAGAAGACUUUCUUUGUCUGUUGAUUAUUUAUUAUUGUCAGUCUUAAAAAGAAAGUAAACAUUGUUUUCCUUUUAAAAAAUGCAAUUUGUAAUGCCCCAUGUCUUAUUCUUAUGAAUUGUUUGAUAAGUAUAUUUUAGGAACCGCUAAGGAGCUUGGGGGCUGCACUACCAGUCAAUCCUUUUAGAGACUUUCUUUCUAUUAAAAUCAGACAGAGGUUACAGACAAUCAAAUGCUAUACCAUACAUCCAAUAGACUGUAGUACAGUGAAUAAUCCCAGUUCCAAAGUCACAAAAGCAUUGGUGGAACACAAAUAAUGUUGACUGUUCUUUUAAUACCCAAAUGUAAAAAAAGGAACAUUUCAAUAUUUGCAUUCAAAGGUUGCUUCUCAUAGACUUUAAUGUACAUCUAUAGCAAUAAACAUUAAGGGGCAGAUUAA